GGCUGCUGCGCGGUGCUAGACGCUAAAUGAAUCGCUUUCGACGCUUCAAAGGCCCCGCUGCAAGAGACCGCACCCCAAUCUCGUUGUUUGGAGGGGAGCUCGAGCUCGGUUCCUUCCACUGACUCACAAGCCUUGGCCACUAGGGGGUCCAGACCCGCGCGCGGUGGCCUCGCGGAGAGCAGCCGGUGGACUCGGGUCCAAGCGCUGAAGCUGGAAUCUCCAAACCCCCGCCUUCCCCGUAGCCCAGGCUCGCUGCGCUGCUGCAGGACAGGGCAGAGGGUGCAUGUGCACCCGCCUAAGGAGGAGCUGCACACCCAGCCGAGCGGAGUUAAUAGCCAUCGGAAUGUGCGUCUCCAGGAGCAGUCCAGUCUGGACCGCCCCUCUCCUUCCGGCCUUCCCCAUUACUGCUUGGGGAGAGAAACAUUUAUUCAAUAUAGAGACGUCCUCGAAGCGAGGAAGACCUGGCUUCAUAUCCUGCUUCGGACUGUGUGACCGUGGGCAAGUCACUUAACUUCUGCAGGUCUCUUAAGAUUAUAAACGGCAGAGAAAAUGCCGACUUGCAUUGGUUAGAGAGCCGUUUCCUCUGCCUCGAAAUCACAGAUCCAAUCCUGAAGUCUUAGUAAAAAUGGUCAAUAUGAAGAAAUCUAUAAGACCACAAGUCGCAUGGAAUGGGCUGACCAGCAUUGACAGAGGGAGGUUUCUAACUGGGAGGUCCCCAUACUGCUGAAAUCAGAGACUUGGUCCCUAGCUGUAUUGAAUUUGGCUCCAGUGGCGGCUGCAGCCAAUGCCACCAACUGAGAGUGCCUAUUUGAAUUCUGGCGCCACUCCCCGAGCCAAGCAGGGCCUGGCCCGACAGCGCGAGCCUGAGGAAAAGCACACCGAACUUGCCAAGACUAAGCAAGCAGCGCGCUUCCCCACCCACAAGAAGGCAGUCGCGCUUAAGUCGUCCGUCCGUGCGUGCGUGCGUGCGUGCGUGCGCGCACCCAAGGCGCCCCGGAAGAACAGAAGCGACACAUGCUGGAACACGGAAAGCAAGAGAGGGGUUCUAAAACUACCCGGCACGCCCUAUUCAUAUCAGCGUGAGUACCCGCCCCCUUUCUCCCCGCCCAUCACCUUUUAGGUGUCCAAUGGACAGUGAGGGGGGCGGAGGAAGCCUCAUUCUGAUUACGCAUCGGCUAUAUAAGGAGCUGCCCCGAGGGUUUUGAGCUCUUUUCGGCUGAGUACGUGCUCGUUGGGUGUUCGGGAAUAAUGGCAAGAGCUCUCGGUGAUUUUUCAGGACUGCCUUCCAGGAACAAUCAGACUCAAAUGAAAACAGGGCAUCUGGAUGAAUAUUCUGCUAGCACUAAUGAGUCCAUAGAUACUUGAAUGGAACAGGACAAGUAUCCAUUGAAUAUUAUGAUGUAAUCAAAGCCCAAGAUCUUGUUGACUGACUUGAUGGCUUCAGGCUGAGCAUGUUGAACAUGCAGGAUUGAGGAGCUCUUAAUUACCAUAUACCAAAGGAUAUUGUGGAAUCAUUACAUCUGCAUCAUGAGACAAGUGUGGAUGGUAGACGGAAAAGAACUAAGAAAUCUGAAAUGAAGCUUUUUUAUGUCACUCUGGAAAUGCCAAGACAUAAAAAUUUCUAUGCAUUUAGACAGAAACUUAGAAUUGUAUUGUUUUGAAUUGAGUUUCAUACAAAAUUGUUUGAUUUUGAAAUUAUGGGAGAAUUUCUAAAUUUAUGGAUGUUACAAAUGACUGCCCUGAUGGUGUCUGAGUGUCGGUAUUUUUUAAUAUAAUUUAUCCGAAGUUAAGACAAACAGGUGAAUCAAACCUACAAAAGGCAUGGGGGCUUUUUUAAGUGGUCCUUUUUAAUUCAAAGCAAUUGCAAAUUUGGCACAUUGAAUAUUAAUAUGCAUAUUUGAAAAUGUUAAGUCUAACUUAUGAAACAAUUCCUUUUACGCUGACUCUUUUUUAAAUAAAUGGUGAGAUAAAAUAGUG